CCCAUGGGUGUGCGAGGCCGCGGGCUGUGACGCAAAUGGCACUGGAUGAUUUGCAGAUGACAUAUCUUCCUGAUUCCGCGUCGUCGCCGUGGGGCGGGAGGGGGCCAUGUCCAAACCCUGACAUGUUACACGCAAACAUCCACCCGACGAGUAAAUAACGGCGGACCAGCAGUUCGCUCCGUGCGGGGAUGCGGUUGCAUAACUCAGGAAACUUAAUAAAGAAAAAACAUGCACGGUGCAAGCGAUGUGCGUGCCCCCCCCCACCCCCCUUCCCUCCUCUCCGGCCGAUUUCGGCCUGGUGCCACGGCGCUCGAUCGGUCCUCGACUUUUGGCCACGGGAGAGGAAACGGAGCGGAGCGGGCACACGGGGGAGAGCGAGUGGCCUCGCUGUGGUGGAUGCGUGGCCGGUGCUAGGACGCAUGCACGUAGCUGACGGGGGAGAGACAGGACAGCCGGUGAGAGACUUGGGACCGCAUUCACAGGCCAUAAAGGGCCCGCGUGAACACUAUUGUGCUCUUUUAUGCAAGAGUCCCCCAACUAUUUACAAAAGCAUGGACUGCAAGUGGGCCCGGGAGGGACCGGUGAAGAUGCGUGUUUCUGACAUCCUCGAUGGUCCCGUGGAAGCUGCUGUUAAUUCAGAGGAGGACCCAGUGCAGUAAUUGUUCAUCCCAGCAGGAGACUCUGAAUAAAUGAAGGCCAAGCAAGGGCCGUCCCUCACUCCGAGGGUUAACGCCAUUUGUCCUGCAUUGCAUUUCCUCCUCAGUGCUUUUCAUCCCAUAUGCGGCUGAUGAGAUUUUGGGGGUCGUGUUGGAGCCAACUGACCACAAGGUGUCAAUGUUGUUGGUAAUGUCUUUUUUUACUUCUCUCAUCUCAGUCCAUUAAUGCAGAAAUGCAUUGAGUAAAAGCAGUGGGUAGAAAACGCCUGCUAGAUGUCAUGCUCAAACAAAUCUAAUUGGAUGUAGCGAUUCGUCUGGAGAGCAGUAAAAGAUGUCAGCUGAGUCACGUGUAGUCACAGUGCAAAAGCGCUCGUACACAGGCUGCUGCAUUUCGGACUUUACACAUAAAUUACCUUCGUAAAUGAUGUUCUAAAACUGCCCGCCCAUUCUAGUCACGUGAGGUAAUACAUAGUGUGUUUUGAGCCCAGUGUUUCCUCAAUAUCGUAGCUUGUGUGCAGAUCAGGGGAUCAUGAAAAAAUAAUGCAGCGACCCCCUUUUGUGGGGAAAAAGCCCUCAUGAAUUUCAACCCCUCAGAUGCAAAAUGUUGGACAGUAUGUUCAGGCCACUGUUUAACUUUCCCUUCGCGUGGAAUCGAACUCUCCUUACGGCCAACGUUGAUUCUGCUUCAUUUUCACCUUUUUUAAAAGCUAUCUCCAUUUCUCAGAAAAAGAUAAUUACCAUCAAAAAGGGUCAAAUGGGUGUCAAGACUCACUGGAACGACAGGAACUUAUGGACAACUUGAAGGUCAUAUCAAACGGCUCACUGUUUGUAGCCUAUAAUUGCCCCUUUUCACAUAAUCCCCAACCUGAAUCAUCCACAUACGGGUCGAUGUGAGACUGUAACCAUUGGAUUCAUCAAUCAGCAAAUAAUGAGUAGAACUUUUUGGACUAUUGUUAUUAGACUUAUUUGGGUUCUCAGUAAAUUUAUCCGGAUAACUCAAGUGAAGCUGCGUCAUGAGAGCGGCUUCAAAUGAGAGCUGGAUGAUCAAAAGAUUGUAUGACCGUGACCUCGGUGAACUCCGGGUUGUGAUCAGAGAUUAAACAGCGACAUACAGUAAAUUCCAUUGAGGUUAAAUUGACAAAUUUGUUUGAAUCAGGCUGCAGUGUAUGUGUGUAUAUUCCAUUAAAUCAAAUCUGCUCCAACCCACUGCAGAGGUUUUGAAAAUCCCAUCUGUAGAAGGAAAUGAAACUGAGAUGAUUUUACUUUGGAUAAAGAGACACUGCAAUGUUAAAAGUAGGAAUUUACAACAAAGGCCGUCUACACAGCACACAGCACUAGUGCUAUAGUUAGCUUCUGGCACUAAAGUUCAGGUGAUGACGUUUAAUCUGCCACUCCUCUUUUGACUGCUUUACAUCUGUGGUUGCCCUUAAUAUCCGUGGUUCUGUAACUCUACACUUUCUUUUUGGAACAUGGGAGGCUGCAUAUCAAUGGCAAUGUGGCAACAGUAAUUUCCAAUAUUUUAGUUUAUUUUAUAUCUGUCUCUAGUGAUAACCUGGGCAACCAUUCAAGGUGGAUGUUAAAUGUAGUUGAUUUUACCCUUUGGUAGAUCGACAUACUAAUUACUAUAUAAUCGCUUGUACCUCAUAAAGAUGCCAAAUAACUGCAUCAGUCCUUUCAGGAAUUUGAUGCUUAAGCUAAAAGUAAAUAAAAGUCACUGUUGAAUAUAAUAAGAAAA